rnacentral:rRNA from 1 species
UACGUAGGUGGCAAGCGUUGUCCGGAUUUACUGGGCGUAAAGAGCGCGCAGGCGGUCAGAUAAGUCGAAUGUGAAAGCCCCCGGCUCAACUGGGGAGGGUCAUUCGAUACUGUUCGACUCGAAGGCAGGAGAGGGAAGUGGAAUUCCCGGUGUAGUGGUGAAAUGCGUAGAUAUCUGGAGGAACACCGGUGGCGAAGGCGGCAUCCUGGACCGGUAUUGACGCUGAGGCGCGAAAGCCAGGGGAGCAAACGGG